rnacentral:rRNA from 1 species
GAGUUUGAUCCUGGCUCAGAGCGAACGCUGGCGGCAGGCUUAACACAUGCAAGUCGAGCGGGCGUAGCAAUACGUCAGCGGCAGACGGGUGAGUAACGCGUGGGAGCGUACCUUUUGGUUCGGAACAACACAGGGAAACUUGUGCUAAUACCGGAUAAGCCCUUACGGGGAAAGAUUUAUCGCCGAAAGAUCGGCCCGCGUCUGAUUAGCUAGUUGGUGAGGUAAUGGCUCACCAAGGCGACGAUCAGUAGCUGGUCUGAGAGGAUGAUCAGCCACAUUGGGACUGAGACACGGCCCAAACUCCUACGGGAGGCAGCAGUGGGGAAUAUUGGACAAUGGGCGCAAGCCUGAUCCAGCCAUGCCGCGUGAGUGAUGAAGGCCCUAGGGUUGUAAAGCUCUUUUGUGCGGGAAGAUAAUGACGGUACCGCAAGAAUAAGCCCCGGCUAACUUCGUGCCAGCAGCCGCGGUAAGACGAACCGUGCGAACGUUGUUCGGAAUCACUGGGCUUAAAGGGCGCGUAGGCGGUCGAUCAAGUCCGAGGUGAAAUCUUUCGGCUUAACCGGAAAAGUGCCUUGGAUACUGAUCGGCUGGAGGGAGGUAGGGGCAGCUGGAACUUCCAGUGGAGCGGUGAAAUGCGUUGAUAUUGGAAGGAACGCCGGUGGCGAAAGCGAGCUGCUGGACCUCUUCUGACGCUGAGGCGCGAAAGCUAGGGGAGCAAACGGGAUUAGAUACCCCGGUAGUCCUAGCCCUAAACGAUGGGUACUAGGUAGUGGACUUGACAUGGGUUCACUGCCGAAGCAAAAGUGUUAAGUACCCCGCCUGGGGAGUAUGGUCGCAAGGCUGAAACUCAAAGGAAUUGACGGGGGCUCACGCAAGCGGUGGAGCAUGUGGCUUAAUUCGAGGCUACGCGAAGAACCUUAUCCUGGACUUGACAUGUGCGAAAGCGCUAGGAAGUAGGGUGCGGAAACGUUACCCCAACGGUAUCCAGUCCGGAACCUAGCACAGGUGCUGCAUGGCUGUCGUCAGCUCGUGUCGUGAGAUGUCGGGUUAAGUCCCAUAACGAGCGAAACCCUUGUUUCCAGUUGCCAACGGGUAAAGCCGGGGACUCUGGGAAGACUGCCGGUGUUAAACCGCGAGGAAGGCGGGGAUGACGUCAAGUCCUCAUGGCCUUUAUGUCCAGGGCUGCACACGUGCUACAAUGGCGCGUACAAAGGGAUGCCAACUCGCGAGAGGGAGCCAAUCCCAAAAAACGUGCCCCAGUUCAGAUUGCAGGCUGCAACUCGCCUGCAUGAAGUUGGAAUCGCUAGUAAUCGCAGGUCAGCAACACUGCGGUGAAUGUGUUCCUGAGCCUUGCACACAC